rnacentral:rRNA from 1 species
UACAGAGGGUGCGAACGUUGCUCGGAAUUACUGGGCGUAAAGCGCGUGUAGGCGGGACCGCAAGUCAGAUGUGAAAUCCCCGGGCUCAACCCAGGAACUGCAUCUGAAACUGCGGACCUUGAGUACUGGAGAGGGUGGCGGAAUUCCUGGUGUAGAGGUGAAAUUCGUAGAUAUCAGGAGGAACACCGGUGGCGAAGGCG